CUCCCCGUUGAUCGUAAAGGCAUAUAUGACGGAUUAUUGCAUGUAUCCAUCACAAGGCUGCCAGUACGCGAGCGGUUCCUGAUCUUGUGAAGAUCCGUCCCCGAGCGACAAGUAGCGCGGAAGCAGAACAGUGACAAGACAACGUACGGCUUACUAUCUGAAUAAUGUCCAAGUGCAUCAUGGUUUGACAGUACAUAACAUUCUAACUUAAACAAUCUGCUUAUGUUUUAUUGCUAGUUUAUUCCAAUUUGCCUUUCUCUGUUUACUUUCUGGACAACUGCAAACGACGCACAAGAUAUUGUCAGCACUGUACGUAAGCGCCAUUUACAUGCGCCGCUAAACAGUGUCAACUGACGCAUGUCACCAGUCAACUGUUCAAUUUUCAAUAUAAAUUAGGAGUAAUUAAGGUCAGACUUCUCUUGUGGUGCAUCUCUUAAUCGAUGUUUUGUGGAGAUAUAAGAAGAGAACAAUGUGUGCCAUCUGUUGCCUCUCAGACAUGGGCACCGCCAGCCUCGGCGAACCCUGAGACACUUUGGAACGAGAUGUGCUUGACGGCAUCUCACGUACAUAACUUCUGGUCGGAGACCUGCGAAUGAUUACUAUCGUAACACUGAUGUAAAGAUCCUAAUCAUCUAACGGUAAUUAUUCGAAACGGGAACAAUGGAAUAAAUAAAUCGAACUUAUACCACGCCUGUAUUGUGUUACAGAAUUGGAUUCUAUCGAAUUUUGCUGAUUAGAUACUCUGUUGAUGGAAGGUACUGAAACUCUAUAAAAUGGCAACUCCUCAAGAGAAGGCACAAUGUGUGACCUGGUUUAUUGAGACAAAAUCAGAUUGGAUGUUCAGACUCGACGAAACUUCAGAACGAAGUAUGGAAGAGAUGCACCAUCGCACUCUUCAAUUCGUGCAUGGCACAAAAAAUUUAUGGAGACAGAGACAAUGUUGGGCAAAGGGAGGAGUGGGCGACCAAGAAUAUCCAAGGAAAACAGUGAUCAUGUUUUAAAUGUCUUCACUCAUUCACCUACAAAGUCCAUCCGCACUGCUGCCAGACUGUUGCACCUACCACGUUCAACUGUGCAUAAGGUCCUCCACAAGAACUUACGGUUGUAUGCUUAAAAAGUGCAACUGCUACAGACAAUUGAGUCAAAUGACAAGCCCAAAAUGGACACAGUUUGCACUCAACAUGCUUGAAUGCCUUUCAGUGACAAGGCAACUUUUCAUGAUUCUGGGACAUUAAACAUACACAAUGUGAGAAUCUGGGGAUCUGAAUACCCCUAUGUGACUAGGGAGCUUCACUGGGAUAGUGCAAAAGUGAAUGUGUGGUGUGGAAUCAUGUGCAACCAAAUAAUUGGUCCAUUUUUCUUCAACGAGUCAACAAUUACUGCAGAUGGUUACCUCAACCUUCUGACCGAAUAUGUAGCACCACAACUGAUUGACUUACAACCAUCUAUCAUUUUCCAGCAAGAUGGUGCACUACCACAUUGGGAACUGCAUGUUCAUUGGUUCCUCAAUGAAACAUUUCCAGGCAGAUGGAUUGGGAGGGAUGGACCAAUUCCUUGGCCACCGUGUUUGCCAGAUGUCACUCCCUUGCACUUUUUUAUUGGGGGUAUGUAAAAGAUAUCAUUUAUCAAACACAGAUAUGGGACAUUGCUGACUUGAAGCAAAGGAUUCGUAAUGCCAUUGCCACCAUUGAUGACGCUAUGCUACAGCGAACAUGACAAGAAAUCGAGUACCAUCUUGAUGUGCUUCAUGUAACUAAAGACGCCCAUAUAGAGGUCUACUAAACACUGUAAAAAAAAACUUUUAUAAACACUGAUUACAAUAAAGGACAUGUUGUCAAAAUACUUCAAAACUGCCAUUGUAAUAAAAUUUUGAAGUUGUAAAGGGACUUUAUGGACACCCUAUAUAUUUCCCUGUCAAAAGUCAGAUAAUUACUGGACAACUUUGUAUUUCAACAAAUAAUAACCAUUCUAUUUAUAAUCUUGUCAUUUAAUAACAGAAGGCCUCUAUUUAUGUAGUU